UAAACACGAUUAAUCAAGGGCUCAUUCAAUUAAUCACCAUACAAAAUGUAGUUGAACAAUCAUAUCAUAAAUCCGGCUCGAUUAUAACAACUUGAGUCAAAACUUCAACCAACAAUUGGUUCCAUCAACCCUAGAUAAGUAAUUAGCUACUCAUAACUAAAUAAGAGAAAACUAUUAAAUUGUUCAUAAUGUAAAUUGCAAGAAUUAAAAGGAGAUAGAAAAACUCUAAUGUUUGGUUGAUCUUCUCACUCAUGUUCUUGCCUCCAAAAGUAGUCUAAAAAUUAGCUUAGCCCCAUCUUGAGCGAGUUUCUAAAGCAUAUAAGGGUUUUGCAAAAGUUUUCCCGAUUUUACACUUUGGUCCUCAAACUUUCCAGCAACGUGAACAGUGCACCACGGUCGCGGUCAACCGCGGUCGAUCGCGGUGAAUGCUGACCUUUCUGCCUUACGUUGUUAAUCUACCGCGGUGGCCUUCUUGCCCAGGCCAUUUAUGCUUUUUUGUGUUCGGGUACUUCUCGAGUGACGUUUUUCUUCAUAUUAUCGCCUCCAAAUUACUUCAUGUUGCUUCCUCUCAUAUAAUAUUCCCUGUUAAACAAAAGAACACUAUUUAGAGCAUUUUUAUUGGCAGUUUAUCUAUAAAACAACAACGAAAUAUAGUCAUAUUAAGGUGUAAAUAUCAACUAUAUAGCCUACUAUCACUCGGCUAGCUCAAGAGAUAGAUAAUUGUCCGUCCCAAAAGUUAUGUCGAUUGUCAAAGGCCAUAUUAGAAACAAAUGGUCUCCCACCCAACCAAAGUGGGGCACUAACACAUAUAUAUUGCAAUGGAGUGGGGCCAAAUCAGGCAAAUACAAGUUUAGCUUGUGAGGCUAGAGAGUCUGGAAGAAAACAAUGAGUGACUGCCUUCACUCUCAGUAAUUAAAGAAAGACGAAACUUGUGUAUAAGGUCAUGCGACUCUUGGGAGCUCGUAAAG
rnacentral:lncRNA from 1 species